GGGGGUAUAGAUCAGUGGUGGAGUGCUUGCCUAGCAUGCUGGAGGACCUGGGUUCAAUUCCCAAUACCUUGG
rnacentral:tRNA from 1 species